rnacentral:misc_RNA from 1 species
GAUGAAGAACGUAGCGAAAUGCGAUACGUAAUGUGAAUUGCAAAUUCAGUGAAUCAUCGAGUCUUUGAACGCACAUUGCGCCCCCUGGUAUUCCGGGGGGCAUGCCUGUCCGAGCGUCAUUUCAACCCUCAAGCACAGCUUGGUCUUGGGCUUCGCCGCUAACCCGGCGGGUCUUAAAAUCAGUGGCGGUGCCGUCGGGCCCUGAGCGCAGUAAUCUCUCUCGCUAUAGGGUCCCGGCGGAUGCUGGCCAGUAACCCCCAAUUUUCUAUGGUUGACCUCGGAUCAGGUAGGGAUACCCGCUGAACUUAAGCAUAUCAAUAAGCGGAGGA